rnacentral:rRNA from 1 species
UACGUAGGGUGCAAGCGUUGUCCGGAAUUAUUGGGCGUAAAGAGCUCGUAGGCGGUCUGUCGCGUCUGCUGUGAAAACUCAGGGCUUAACCCUGAGCUUGCAGUGGGUACGGGCAGACUAGAGUGCGGUAGGGGAGACUGGAAUUCCUGGUGUAGCGGUGAAAUGCGCAGAUAUCAGGAGGAACACCGGUGGCGAAGGCGGGUCUCUGGGCCGUAAACUGACGCUGGAGGCGACGGAAGGCUAGGGUAGCAAACAGG